AAUCCCCAUGACUAUAAGAGUUACCUCCUAUUCCUAGCGCUACAGGGGCAAUCAUUGUCAGUACACUUGAUCCUGACGUUUUAUCUUAUUCUUAACAAAAAACAAAAUAUCUGUCACAAUGUCUGGUCACGGAAGUCAACAGUACCAAGCUAACAACGACAACAAGUCCAACCAAUGCAAUCCAAACAAUCCAAAUUACCAGGGUCAUCAGCCUGGAUACCCGGGAACUGGAACCAGGUCUGACCUAAAUAACCGCAGCAACCAACUCAAUCCAAACAACACACGCUAUCAAGCACCGAAAAAAUAAAUAAGAAAACUUUGCUUGACAGAACAUCUUGACAACAUGAAACUAUUUUUUUUUUUAAAGCCAAGAUCUAUCUGUAAAAAUGAUAAAUGUUGAUUUAUCUUUCUAAAUAAACUUUUUCUCCUUUAAA
rnacentral:sRNA from 1 species